CAGUUACCUCAUCUGUCAAAUGGGCAUCGAGACUCCGAGCCCCACGUGGGACGACCUCCUCACCUAGAAUGCCCCGCCCUCUGGGUUUAGAACAGUGCUCGGCACACAGAUCGGGCGGAGUUGUGGUAGAUCGGACCUGGCGCUUGAACAACCCAUCUCUCUCCAGAAGCCACCUCUCGGUUGGAGUCGGUCUGAGUGACCCGGCUGCCCAGGAUGCGGUCAAAUGGGGGUUUGGGAUGUUUAAUCUCCCACCGGGAGCGGACGUUCCGGGGAUCGAGACUUUCAUCAGUUGUCUCGCAGAGAGCUGGGGAUGACUGGGUGCAACAGAAAAGUAGUGUGGCCUAAUGAAAAGACCGCAGGGUUGGGAGUCAGGAGUCCUGACUUUGCCACCGGCCUGCUGUGUGACCUUGGCCGAGUCACUUAACUUCUUUGAGUCUCAGUUUCUUCAUCUGUAAAAUGGGGAUGAAACCUGUCCUCCCUCCUACUUAGACUGUGACCUCCAUGUGGGACAGGGACUGACUCAGACCUGAUUAUCUUGUAAUCACUCCUGCGUGUAGUCUGUUGUUUGGUGCAUAAUAAGUGCUUAGCAAAUA